GACGAACGCUGGCGGCGUGCCUAAUACAUGCAAGUCGAACGAACCGCGACUAAGUGCUUGCACUAAGUCAAGGUGAGUGGCGAACGGGUGAGUAACACGUGGGUAACCUACCUCAUAGUGGGGGAUAACAGUCGGAAACGACUGCUAAUACCGCAUAGGACAUAGGAUCACAUGACCCAGUGAGGAAAGGUGGCGCAAGCUAUCGCUAAGAGAUGGACCCGCGGUGCAUUAGCUAGUUGGUAGGGUAAAGGCCUACCAAGGCGAUGAUGCAUAGCCGACCUGAGAGGGUGAUCGGCCACAUUGGGACUGAGACACGGCCCAAACUCCUACGGGAGGCAGCAGUAGGGAAUCUUCCGCAAUGGACGCAAGUCUGACGGAGCAACGCCGCGUGAGUGAAGAAGGUCUUCGGAUCGUAAAGCUCUGUUGUUAGAGAAGAACAGCACAUAGAGUAACUGCUAUGCGUGUGACGGUAUCUAACCAGAAAGCCACGGCUAACUACGUG
rnacentral:rRNA from 1 species